rnacentral:lncRNA from 1 species
UUUUCAGACGAGACUCAGAAACUCUUUUAUUAAAUUGAACACAAAAUGACUGUUAUAAUGACAUCAAGCCUUUAUCAGAAAUCAGUACAUAAGUGAGGAUACACAGCCAAAAUGAGCCAUCAACAUAAGCAGUGUAAAUUUUAAAUAACUUUCAGUUUCUAUAUUCAAUAUACUGAAGAAAAUAAAACCAAAAGAGAAAUUUCAGUUUCACAAUUCACAGUUAAUUGGUUUUAAUCCCAUGACACUAUUGUCAUUUAUGUAGCCUCAGAACACAGAUUUCCAAAAUGGUGACUGGCACAUAGGCCCAACAGCAUACAUGGAUGGUAAACCCCUGUAUAACAUUUAGAGAAAACUGUAGGAAACAGUCCCAAUUUCAUACAGUUUUGGCUGGCAUAUUUUAGCUAUAUCCUUUAUCAGAGACAUUGUUCUAAUGAAAUAAUAAAAGUAGUUUAAAAGCUUGCCAUGCCAUUAAAUGAAGGGUUCUAAAUUCUCCCUUGGUUUUUCAUAAUUUUAUUCUCUAAUAUAAAAUAAUCACUGCACUAAAAUGCAACCUUAACAGUGAAAGCGACAUCAGUUUUGCUUCUGGAUCUAGAGCAUACAUCCAAGAGAGGCAACUUAUUGUCCUAGCAGAUACAUGGAAUGCUUUAGAGCAGAGUCUGACAUAUUCUAGUAAGGCAUCUCAAAGCAGACAACCACACCCAAACUAAAUUAUUAUGGUCAGGCAAGGAUACCACAAGGUGAACACCAAUUAACACAGACUCAACAUGAAAUUCUUACAAAAUGACACAAUAAUUUACAAAACCACAGAAAGGUGCUCAAGUACCAAAAGAAGGCAAAACAAUCACCAGCCACUCUAAAAGAGUUUUGUUCCCAUAAAUGCCAGAUUUUCAGAAUAGAAACAAACUGCUUUACAUGUGCUUUGCCCUGGAAUAAUAUCGUUCAUCCAGACACAUGGGGUUACUUUCCCUUAAAAAAAUAUAUCAUGUAGAGAAUAUACAUAUAAUCAGUGAUAUAGAACAUUUAUUUUCACUAGUGAGGGGGUCACUUAAGCACUUACAUAGAGUUAUGAGUGAAUCAUGAAGGUUAUUUAAAUGUAAAAGGAAAUCUGAUCAAACUUGUAUUUUGAAUUACUAUUCAACAGCAAAGUGAGAUUUUUCACAGUUGCAUUGACUUAAUAAGGAACUAUGACCAUGGGAAAAGUCUUUAAGGUCAAAGAAUUGUGAAAUGUCUAAAAAUGAAAGUCUAAUCAGUAAAAAUACACACUUUCAUUUUAAGGGUCCCAAAAGAAGUGUUCAGUUAUUCUGAGAGCCAUGAAUCUUAUAAACAAGCACAAGAAUAUGAAUCAGGAAUACUGAAGUUUCAGUUCUGACUUACCCACUGAAUCUUCACAACCUGCAACAAGUCACUUAAAUUCUUCUGAUUUUGUCCACAAAAAAAGGCAUAAAAAUAAAGGCAUAUGUCAAUUUUUUUUUCCUAAACAGUACUUGAGUAAAGCUAAAGAUGGCUACUAAGGCUCACAAUUUCAACAACUCCUCAUUGUACAGUACAAUCAUUUUUAAUCCUGCUAAUUAUGGCUAAAAGAAAGCAUGGGCCAUUACAAUUCUCAGGGAAUUCAAAGGCUUUAGAUAAAUUAAUGGUUUUACCUUUUGAAACUACUUAAUCUGUUCUUCUACAGUUGUUUAAAAUAGCUAAUCAUCUAUGAGGCUGACUCUUUACUCUUAUUUUCUGGAAGUACAGGUGAAAGUAGUAAAAGGAGAAGUGGUACCAUGGAGAAAAGCAGCAGUAGAUUGAAAUGAGGUAUAAGCUGAUUUAAUAAAUGCCAAUCAGUAAUUUACAGUUUGUUUUUUAAGAAGCUGCAUAGUUCAGAAAAAACACAUAAGACAGGGGUAAAGAAAAAAUGCUUAUCAUGAAGUUUUAAAAUGCAUGACAACUAAGCAUUUAAAAUGAACAACACCAAAAAACUUCACUUUGAAAAGGAGUCAUCUUACCUCACUCUAAGCACAUUCAAAAACAGAAACUGGAAAGGCUAAAGUUCACAGGAGAAAAAGAGGAUGUUAAUUGUCUCAGGUUAUCAACUUCAUACACUGCUUUUUAAAAGAUAUUAAUAUUCAAACAAAUGUUAAACUCUAAUUUAUGACACCUAUGCCAAAGCUUUUAAGGGAAAUACACUGUCUGAAAUUUAUCUUAAAAUGUGUAUUUUUUAAAAAUUCUAUUGUUUAAUAGUUGAAUAGAGGGAUAGAUAAGCACUAAUACAAGUACCAUAAAAUGUUGAUGGUAGAAUCUAAGUGGUGGAUAUAUUGUAAAAUCCUUCAACUCUAAUGUACAUUUCAAAUUUUAAUAGUAAAGUGUUAUGAAAAAAUGUUAAUACUUCUAUAAUAUUAAUUCUAUAAUAAAAUUAAUAAAAUUUUAAAGACUCAAAGUACUCAGGCAAUUUAGAAUUUUAAAUUAAUUGAAGUGAGGAAAAAUUUGCUUUUACAUACUUUGAACCUGAUUUGUUAGGAUGCCUGUUUUGGGGGUUUUCUUGUUUGUUUUUGUUUUGGCUGCCCCAAGGCAUAUGAAGUUCCCAGGUAAGGGAUCAGAUCUGAGCUGCAGUCAUGACCCAAGCUACUGUUGCAGCAAUGCCAGAUCUUUAACCCACUGUGACGGGUGGGGAUCAAAUCGUCAUCCUAGUGCUCCCAAGAUGCUGCCGAUCCUGUUGUGCCAUAGUGGGAACUCCUAAGAUGCCUGUUUUAAUGCAAAGAUGAACUAGCACAAUUAAUAAGUAUUGUACAAGACAGUCUCUUUACACACUUCAUUUGCAAAUACAUAAUUCUAUCCUCUCUACAGAAUUAAAUAAGUUUGAAAAAGACACUGGAAUAAAGUUUUUCCAAACAUCAACAUCAAGCUCUUCCCAACCAACCACACUACCAUUCACUAAAAAUAAAAUGUAACACAGAUCAAGAUAAAGAAAUACCAAUGACUGUUGCCAGCCUGGGACAAGUGCAUUCAUUUUCAGAAUGUAUGGUUCCUGAUUAAUAAUUAUUCAGUUUUACUCAAUAUCAAAUUGAGACUGCAUGAAGAAAAAAUGAGAUGUAGAACACAGAAUUCACACCAACCUUUGCUAUUCCAAGAUCCUAUUUUAUGAAUGGUGAUUAAUGGCAAUAGUUCUAUCAUCUCUUCUCUCUGUGAAAUGCUAAAACUUGCUAAAGGCACUCAUAUUCUGGGCUUAACGAAGACAAGGUCACAUAGGACCAUAAGCCAGUAUUUUUUUGGUACCUACCCAGAAAGGGAGUUGAUAAAUGAUCUCCCAUUCAUAAAGGGAAAACAAAGUCAAACAGCUAUCAGUAGAAAUGCUGUAUGAGAAACUAUGUACACUGUUAUUUGCCCAUUCAGUUAGGUUGACUGUAAUAGCCCACAAUGACAGGGGUCCACCACCAAAAAAAAAAAACUAAAGUAACAACAAAACACUCUUUAUUAUGAAUGAAACUCCUGAACAGAGAUUUGGCUGGU